rnacentral:sRNA from 1 species
CAGCUGUUGUAUGUUUUU